UGGGGAAUUUUGGACAAUGGGGGAAACCCUGAUCCAGCCAUCCCGCGUGUGCGAUGAAGGCCUUCGGGUUGUAAAGCACUUUUGGCAGGAAAGAAACGUCGUGGGUUAAUACCCCGCGAAACUGACGGUACCUGCAGAAUAAGCACCGGCUAACUACGUGCCAGCAGCCGCGGUAAUACGUAGGGUGCAAGCGUUAAUCGGAAUUACUGGGCGUAAAGCGUGCGCAGGCGGUUCGGAAAGAAAGAUGUGAAAUCCCAGAGCUUAACUUUGGAACUGCAUUUUUAACUACCGGGCUAGAGUGUGUCAGAGGGAGGUGGAAUUCCGCGUGUAGCAGUGAAAUGCGUAGAUAUGCGGAGGAACACCGAUGGCGAAGGCAGCCUCCUGGGAUAACACUGACGCUCAUGCACGAAAGCGUGGGGAGCAAACAGGAUUAGAUACCCUGGUAGUCCACGCCCUAAACGAUGUCAACUAGCUGUUGGGGUCUUCGGACCUUGGUAGCGCAGCUAACGCGUGAAGUUGACCGCCUGGGGAGUACGGUCGCAAGAUUAAAAACUUAAAUCGAAUUG
rnacentral:rRNA from 1 species